rnacentral:misc_RNA from 1 species
CAACCCUCAAGCUCUGCUUGGUAUUGGGUGUCACUGCUCAAGUGCACCUUAAAAUCAGUGGCGGUGCUACCUGGCUUCUAGCGUAGUAAUACAAUUCGUUAUGGAGUUUAGGUGCUGUUCUGCCAUCAACCCCUAAUUCUACA